CCCCCCCCCCCCCCCCCCCCCCCCCCCCCCCCCCCCCCCCCCCCCCCCCCCCCCCCCCCCCCCCCCCCCCCCCCCCCCCCCCCCGGCCGCCCCGCCGGCCGCCGCCGCCGUCACCUGCACGCUGAAAUCCGGGAAGAUCCUGAUCAUCCCCGCGGCUCAGCACCCGGCGAGUGUCGGCGAAGAGGUGCAGCAGCAGCGACUCUCCCUCCGGCGGCUGCGAUUGCAGAGCCAGGCACACUGCAAUCCCAUUAGUGAGUGGCGGCCACUGUGAGUGAGGACGGGCGCUUUGAUGUGAGCGGCUGGGCUGAGAUUGAGGAGUUUGGGGGGGCUAGGGGUAAAGGGAGGGGGGGAAAAUUUACCGAAUUGCAAACAUGCAACGCGUGAAGGUUUGGGAAGCAAAGUGGAAUACCAGAGCUACCCUCCCCACCAAAAAAAAAAAAAAAAAAAAAAAACCCCAAAAGAAAAAAGAAAAAAAAAAGGUAUAUGUCUAAUACUACUGGAGCUGUAGAUAUAGGAGAAAAAUCCAAGCUGAGGAGGGACGGGGAGGAGAGAGGGGGGCGCAAUUACUUUAGCGGUGCAGUGCAAAUGAUGAGCAGCAAAUGUUGCCUUUUUUCCCUCCUCCUUCUCGUCUCUCCACCCCCCCACCCUCCACCCAAAAUGCAAGUCUUAGAGGAUUUCUCUGUCUCAAUGAAGUAAUAAUAAAGGCGGCUGACCACAGUCUGGGCCCCCCCCCCCCCCCCCCCCCCCCCCCCCCCCAAAGGCGGCUGACCACAGUCUGGGCUAGCGCCAACUGUGCGGGGGGGUCGUGGGGGUGGGAAGGCGGGGGGGAAGGGGAGGAAUAUCCCUGCUCCCAGAGUCCUGAGGAGAAGAGGAAGAGUGGAAGAUUGUUGCAGCGCAAGUUCUCGCUCUUGGUGAAAAAAAAUGUCUCUUCUCUGGAAAUUCAUUUCCAUUUACUUAAAGUUAAAUGGUUUGACUUUGAAUUUUCAUUAUCUGCUGUUGGAAGGAGCCUGUGA
rnacentral:lncRNA from 1 species